UCCACCGCUGCAACACCUCGUGCCUGCGCCGCCGCGUCCUCCAACUUCAUCUCCUUGGUCUCCUCCCUCAAGUCCUGCCUCGCAUCUCAGAGGCCCUCGCCUGGUGAGCAGCAUCACGGAGGCCGUCGCCUGCCUCCACCCCUCGACGCCUUCCGUAACCUGCAGGGGUGUUCUCCAAUUAGUGCCGGAAUUAUUUAGUUUCAUAGACUCUAAAUUUAGCAGGCUAAUAAGUGUUGGUUCAGGAUUGAGGUUCUAUAUUAUUUAGGUGUGUUUAUAGUACAUAUGGAAGCAUACUGGAGGUCUGAAGUCUGAAACGCAUUGUCAACAGUUUCCUUGAUAACAAGCACACGAUGUCCAAUAUAUCAUACGAAUUAGGGUGAGUUAUGCACCACCUGAAAGCACACCUUGCACCAAAUGAACUGCUGGGAUCAGGUUGGACAUUUGAGUAUAGUGUUGGCAUGCAUCCCAGCUACGAGAGCUUUCAGGUACUGGACCAAUGUGCUUGUAUUGACCAUCGACAUAUUCUCUCUGCUCACCACUUGGCAUCCAAUGUAAGAAAUCUUGAAAUAUCAUGAAAUGCUAAAUAUUUGUUGCAAUUAACUUUUGUUUUAGCAUGUCUGUUAACAACUCAUUUUCUACUCUUACGAGUUAUGAUCCCCACCAUCGAGUCCGCCAGCGUCGACGCUGCCAGGUGGUGGAUGCCUGCUUGCCAGGGCCACGUUGACGCGAAGCAUAUAUGUCCACUGCCUGUCUUGCCGUAGGGGAGUUCCGCGAGGUCCUGAUCCGGCAUUGAUCCGAUGACGCCUUCAUGGCUAAGAGUUUGGUGCUCCCUACGGCCGGCGACGUAGCAGGCGGAGGUUCCUCUUGACUCGUCGUGCAACACCUUUGUCGAUCUGGGUGACGCUGCAGUAAAGAUAGAACUGUUGUUGUGCCAAUUGUCUCCCUCCCACGCCAGUGAAGGUGCAUGAAUAAAUAUAUCUGUUGCCCUGUGUAUAAAUUAUACUUACGUGCCUUUUCAAUUUAAACCAUGAAAUAUAUCAUUAUAUUACUUUAGUUUUCUGCAUCUACUUGACUAGAACGAGUAUGCUUCAAACAUAGCUAAAAGGGAUGCUUUCCAUGAGAAAGAGAGAUUUUUCUAAAUAUCUGCACUCCAAAUACACAUCAUGGCUCUUUUUGUUUGUGUAAAUUUGUUCAUAAUGACUAUCAAAUGUCCAUCCAGUACUCUGUUUUGGUUUACCAAGUACUAACAUUAUAGGAUGUCGCAUAUUCCAUCUCAUAUUUGCUUAAGUAUUAGCAUAUGACUUGUUAGGCUGCAGGCUCAUUCUCAGUUUUUAAAAGUAUAUACGAACCUUCAGAUUUUUCAAAUAUUUGCAGAAGUUUCGGUACUAAAGAACAUCAGUUUAUUCAAAUAUUGUUCGAAAUAAGGAGAAUUAGCAAAGAUGAUUUGCAAAUUAAUGUGUGAAGAGCAUCUUUUUUUAUCUAUUCAUAUGAUUUAGCAGCUUGAUUUGUGUCUGUCGGUACCGGUGCCCUCGGUGGGUUGGUAGGUGUGGCUUUGAAUUUUGCAGAGAUAUUUUGGGGGCAUAUCUCCUAUUUCCUCCCAAUUAACUUGGAUUGUGUUGUACCAGCUAAGAUCUAUGUCUUCCUUUGGUUGGUAUUAAACAACACAAUCGUUACUAGAAAAUUUAGGGAAAAUAUAGGCAUGUUAGUGAUCCAACUUGUGUUCUAUAAUCAGAGAUGUCUUUUUUUUAAUCAUUUCUUCCGUUACAAUAGUCUGGACAAUGUCGCUCAAAUUAUUCAGUUAACUGUGGGAGAUGACCUUUUGUCAAUUUUAUGAUCAAAGAUGUUAUUUUUUCUAUCAUUUGUUCGUUACAAUCUUCGUGCCCAACAGGUCAGCUGUCGCUCAAAUUAUUCAGUUAACCGUGGGAGAUUGUAAGGGUAUUUCACCCUUAUCCAUUAU